UUUCCGUAGGUGAACCUGCGGAAGGAUCAUUCAUAAUAAAGUGUUUUAUGGUGCUUUUUAAAAAUCCAUAUCCACCUUGUGUGCAAUGUUAGAUCUCGUCAAUCUUGGCGAGAUUUUUAUACAUCAACUCAUUCUUUAACUAAUUUGUCUGAAGAAUAUUAUGAAUACUUAAUUCAAAAUACAACUUUCAACAACGGAUCUCUUGGCUCUC
rnacentral:misc_RNA from 1 species